rnacentral:rRNA from 1 species
CUACGUGCCAGCAGCCGCGGUAAUACGGAAGGUCCGGGCGUUAUCCGGAUUUAUUGGGUUUAAAGGGAGCGUAGGCUGGAGAUUAAGUGUGUUGUGAAAUGUAGACGCUCAACGUCUGACUUGCAGCGCAUACUGGUUUCCUUGAGUACGCACAACGUUGGCGGAAUUCGUCGUGUAGCGGUGAAAUGCUUAGAUAUGACGAAGAACUCCGAUUGCGAAGGCAGCUGACGGGAGCGCAACUGACGCUGAAGCUCGAAGGUGCGGGUAUCGAACAGGAUUAGAUACCCUGGUAGUCCGCACAGUAAACGAUGGAUGCCCGCUGUUGGUACCUGGUAUCAGCGGCUAAGCGAAAGCAUUAAGCAUCCCACCUGGGGAGUACGCCGGCAACGGUGAAACUCAAAGGAAUUGACGGGGGCCCGCACAAGCGGAGGAACAUGUGGUUUAAUUCGAUGAUACGCGAGGAACCUUACCCGGGCUUGAAUUGCAGAGGAAGGAUUUAGAGAUA